rnacentral:rRNA from 1 species
UACGGAGGAUGCGAGCGUUAUCCGGAUUUAUUGGGUUUAAAGGGUGCGUAGGCGGAUCGUUAAGUCAGUGGUCAAAUUGAGGGGCUCAACCCCUUCCCGCCAUUGAAACUGGCGAUCUUGAGUGGAAGAGAAGUAUGCGGAAUGCGUGGUGUAGCGGUGAAAUGCAUAGAUAUCACGCAGAACCCCGAUUGCGAAGGCAGCCUUCCGGCGCCCUACUGACGCUGAGGCACGAAAGUGCGGGGAUCGAACAGG